rnacentral:snoRNA from 1 species
GAUAUUUGUAUGAUGAAGUAUUACGGAUGUAAAUGAGCUACAAGCUCAAUAAUCCGAGAGCGCAUAACCCCAUGUGGAUUUUUCCGUUGCCUUCCUUCUGACUACCCUU